rnacentral:rRNA from 1 species
GACGAACGCUGGCGGCGUGCUUAACACAUGCAAGUCGAACGGAAAGGCCCUGCUUUUGUGGGGUGCUCGAGUGGCGAACGGGUGGGUAACACGUGAGUAACCUGCCCUUGACUUUGGGAUAACUUCAGGAAACUGGGGCUAAUACCGGAUAGGAGCUCCUGCUGCAUGGUGGGGGUUGGAAAGUUUCGGCGGUUGGGGAUGGACUCGCGGCUUAUCAGCUUGUUGGUGGGGUAGUGGCUUACCAAGGCUUUGACGGGUAGCCGGCCUGAGAGGGUGACCGGCCACAUUGGGACUGAGAUACGGUCCAGACUCCUACGGGAGGCAGCAGUGGGGAAUAUUGCACAAUGGGCGGAAGCCUGAUGCAGCAACGCCGCGUGCGGGAUGACGGCCUUCGGGUUGUAAACCGCUUUCGCCUGUGACGAAGCGUGAGUGACGGUAAUGGGUAAAGAAGCACCGGCUAACUACGUG